rnacentral:rRNA from 1 species
AGAGUUUGAUCCUGGCUCAGGAUGAAUUCUGGCGGCGUGCUUAACACAUGCAAGUCGAGCGAAGCAGUUUAAAUGAGACUUCGGUGGAUUUUAAACUGACUGAGCGGCGGACGGGUGAGUAACGCGUGGAUAACCUGCCUCACACAGGGGGAUAACAGUUAGAAAUGACUGCUAAUACCGCAUAAGACCACAGCACCGCAUGGUGCAGGGGUAAAAACUCCGGUGGUACAGGAUGGACCCGCGUCUGAUUAGCUGGUUGGUGAGGUAACGGCUCACCAAGGCGACGAUCAGUAGCCGGCUUGAGAGAGUGAACGGCCACAUUGGGACUGAGACACGGCCCAAACUCCUACGGGAGGCAGCAGUGGGGAAUAUUGCACAAUGGGGGAAACCCUGAUGCAGCGACGCCGCGUGAGUGAAGAAGUAUCUCGGUAUGUAAAGCUCUAUCAGCAGGGAAGAAAAUGACGGUACCUGACUAAGAAGCCCCGGCUAACUACGUGCCAGCAGCCGCGGUAAUACGUAGGGGGCAAGCGUUAUCCGGAAUUACUGGGUGUAAAGGGUGCGUAGGUGGUAUGGCAAGUCAGAAGUGAAAACCCAGGGCUUAACUCUGGGACUGCUUUUGAAACUGUCAGACUGGAGUGCAGGAGAGGUAAGCGGAAUUCCUAGUGUAGCGGUGAAAUGCGUAGAUAUUAGGAGGAACACCAGUGGCGAAGGCGGCUUACUGGACGGUAACUGACGUUGAGGCUCGAAAGCGUGGGGAGCAAACAGGAUUAGAUACCCUGGUAGUCCACGCCGUAAACGAUGAAAACUAGGUGUCGGGGAGCAUGGCUCUUCCGUGCCGUCCCCAACGCAGUAAGUA